rnacentral:rRNA from 1 species
AGUGAACGCUGGCGGUAGGCCUAACACAUGCAAGUCGAACGGCAGCACAGUAAGAGCUUGCUCUUACGGGUGGCGAGUGGCGGACGGGUGAGGAGUACAUCGGAAUCUACUUUUUCGUGGGGGAUAACGUAGGGAAACUUACGCUAAUACCGCAUACGACCUACGGGUGAAAGCAGGGGAUCUUCGGACCUUGCGCGAUUGAAUGAGCCGAUGUCGGAUUAGCUAGUUGGCGGGGUAAAGGCCCACCAAAGCGACGAUCCGUAGCUGGUCUGAGAGGAUGAUCAGCCACACUGGAACUGAGACACGGUCCAGACUCCUACGGGAGGCAGCAGUGGGGAAUAUUGGACAAUGGGCGCAAGCCUGAUCCAGCCAUACCGCGUGGGUGAAGAAGGCCUUCGGGUUGUAAAGCCCUUUUGUUGGGAAAGAAAAGCAGCAGGUUAAUACCCCGCUGUUCUGACGGUACCCAAAGAAUAAGCACCGGCUAACUUCGUG